rnacentral:rRNA from 1 species
UACAGAGGUCCCAAGCGUUGUUCGGAUUUACUGGGCGUAAAGGGUGCGUAGGAGGCUCGAAAAGUCAGAUGUGAAAGCUUACCGCUUAACGGUGAAACUGCAUUUGAAACUCUCGAGCUCGAGGAUUAGAGAGGAAAGCGGAAUUCUUGGUGUAGCGGUGAAAUGCGUAGAUAUCAAGAGGAACGCCAAUGGCGAAAGCAGCUUUCUGGAGAAUUCCUGACUCUGAGGCACGAAGGCUAGGGUAGCAAAC